AACGAACGCUGUCGGCAUGCCUAACACAUGCAAGUCGAACGAUACCUUCGGGUCUAGUGGCGCACGGGUGCGUAACGCGUGGGAACCUGCCCUUAGCUUCGGAAUAACUCCCCGCAUGGGUUGCUGAUACCGGAUAAUGUCUUCGGACCAAAGAUUUAUCGCAUUUGUAUUGGCCCGCGUGGGAUUAGCUAGUUGGUAGGGUAAACGACUAUCAAGGCGACGAUCCAGAGCUGCUCUGAGAGGAUUACCCGCGACACUAGGACUGAGACACGGCCCAGAAACCUACGGGAAGAAGCAGGAGGGAAGAAUGGACAAAGGGAGAGAGCCUGAGCCAGCAAUGCCGCGUGAGAGAACAAGGCCAUAGGGUUGUAAAGAUCUUUUACACGGGAAGAGAAUGACAGUACCGGGAGAAAAAGCACGGGAUAACUCCGUG
rnacentral:rRNA from 1 species